AAAAAUUUAGUUAAACAGAUAACAUUAGCUUGUCAAGCUAAAAUCAUUAAAUUAAAUUAAUAAUUUUUA
rnacentral:tRNA from 1 species